rnacentral:rRNA from 1 species
AGAGUUUGAUCCUGGCUCAGAUUGAACGCUGGCGGCAUGCCUAACACAUGCAAGUCGAACGGAAACGAUGGGAGCUUGCUCCCAGGCGUCGAGUGGCGAACGGGUGAGUAACGCGUGGGAAUCUGCCCGGUAGUGGGGGAUAGCCCGGAGAAAUCCGGAUUAAUACCGCAUACGCUCUACGGAGGAAAGGUGGCCUCUGCUUGCAAGCUACCGCUAUCGGAUGAGCCCGCGUUGGAUUAGCUAGUUGGUGGGGUAAAGGCCUACCAAGGCGACGAUCCAUAGCUGGUCUGAGAGGAUGAUCAGCCACAUUGGGACUGAGACACGGCCCAGACUCCUACGGGAGGCAGCAGUGGGGAAUAUUGGACAAUGGGCGCAAGCCUGAUCCAGCAAUGCCGCGUGUGUGAAGAAGGCCUGCGGGUUGUAAAGCACUUUUGUGAGGGAAGAAAGGCCCUGGGCGAAUAGUCCGGGCGUCUUGACGGUACCUCAAGAAUAAGCACCGGCUAACUCCGUGCCAGCAGCCGCGGUAAUACGGAGGGUGCGAGCGUUAAUCGGAAUUACUGGGCGUAAAGGGUGCGUAGGCGGCUUGAUAAGUCGGAUGUGAAAGCCCCGGGCUUAACCUGGGAAUUGCAUUCGAUACUGUCAGGCUAGAGUAUGUCAGAGGUUGGCGGAAUUCCUAGUGU